UGGGGAAUAUUGCACAAUGGGCGCAAGCCUGAUGCAGCCAUGCCGCGUGUGUGAAGAAGGCCUUCGGGUUGUAAAGCACUUUCAGCGGGGAGUAAGGCGAUAAGGUUAAUAACCUUGUCGAUUGACGUUACCCGCAGAAGAAGCACCGGCUAACUCCGUGCCAGCAGCCGCGGUAAUACGGAGGGUGCAAGCGUUAAUCGGAAUUACUGGGCGUAAAGCGCACGCAGGCGGUCUGUCAAGUCGGAUGUGAAAUCCCCGGGCUCAACCUGGGAACUGCAUUCGAAACUGGCAGGCUAGAGUCUUGUAGAGGGGGGUAGAAUUCCAGGUGUAGCGGUGAAAUGCGUAGAGAUCUGGAGGAAUACCGGUGGCGAAGGCGGCCCCCUGGACAAAGACUGACGCUCAGGUGCGAAAGCGUGGGGAGCAAACAGG
rnacentral:rRNA from 1 species